CAGUCGCCGCGGGAAUACGUAGGUGGCAAGCGUUGUCCGGAAUUAUUGGGCGUAAAGGGCUCGCAGGCGGUUUCUUAAGUCUGAUGUGAAAGCCCCCGGCUCAACCGGGGAGGGUCAUUGGAAACUGGGAAACUUGAGUGCAGAAGAGGAGAGUGGAAUUCCACGUGUAGCGGUGAGAUGCGUAGAGAUGUGGAGGAACACCAGUUGCGAAGGCGACUCUCUGGUCUGUAACUGACGCUGAGGAGCGAAAGCGUGGGGAGCGAACAGGAUUAGAUACCCCCGUAGUCCCUGUCUCUUAUAA
rnacentral:rRNA from 1 species